GGGCCGGUACUAGUGGCGCACGGGUGAGGAACACGUGGAUAAUCUGCCUUUUUGUGGGGAAUAGCAGUGCGAAAGGAAUGCUAAUACCGCAUAAGACCACGACCACUGCGGUGGAUGUGGUUAAAGAUGGCCUCUUCUUGAAAGCUGUCGCAAAAAGAUGAGUCCGCGUCCCAUUAGAUUGAUGGUAGGGUAACGGCCUACCAUAUCCGCGAUGGGUAGCUGGUCUGAGAGGAUGAUCAGCCACACUGAAACUGAGACACGGUCCAGACUCCUACGGGAGGCAGCAGUAGGGAAUAUUGCGCAAUGGAGGAAACUCUGACGCAGCAAUGCCGCGUGAGUGAUGAAGGCCCUCGGGUCGUAAAGCUCUGUCGUUAGGGAAUAAAGACUUAAGGUUAAUACCCUUAGGGUUUGAAGGUACCUAACAAGAAAGCACCGGCUAACUACGUGCCAGCAGCCGCGGUAAUACGUAGGGUGCAAGCGUUGUUCGGAAUUACUGGGCGUAAAGCGCAUGUAGGCGGACAAGUAAGUCAGAUGUGAAAGCCUGGGGCUCAACCUCAGAAGUGCAUCUGAAACUAUUUGUCUUGAAUAUGGAAGAGGGCAGUGGAAUUCCUGGUGUAGUGGUGAAAUACGUAGAUAUCAGGAGGAACAUCGGUGGCGAAGGCGGCUGCCUGGUCCAAUAUUGACGCUGAGAUGCGAAAGCGUGGGUAGCAAACAGGAUUAGAUACCCUGGUAGUCCACGCCGUAAACGAUGGAUACUUGGGGUUGGAGGUAUUGACCCCUUCAGUCCCGCAGCUAACGCGGUAAGUAUCCCGCCUGGGGAGUACGGUCGCAAGAUUAAAACUCAAAGAAAUUGACGGGGGCCCGCACAAGCGGUGGAGCAUGUGGUUUAAUUCGAUGCAACGCGAAGAACCUUACCUGGUCUUGACUUCCUGUUGAAGAUUCCUGAGAGGGAAUUGCCUUCGGGCAACAGUGACAGGUGCUGCAUGGCUGUCGUCAGCUCGUGUCGUGAGAUGUUGGGUUAAGUCCCGCAACGAGCGCAACCCCUAUCUUUAGUUGCCAGCAUUUAGUUGGGCACUCUAGAGAGACUGCCGACGUUAAGUCGGAGGAAGGUGGGGAUGACGUCAAGUCCUCAUGGCCCUUAUGACCAGGGCUACACACGUGCUACAAUGGAUGAUACAAAGGGUUGCAAAGCAGCAAUGUGGAGCUAAUCUCAAAAAAUCAUUCUCAGUUCGGAUUGGAGUCUGCAACUCGACUCUAUGAAGUUGGAAUCGCUAGUAAUCGCGGAUCAGCACGCCGCGGUGAAUACGUUCUCGGGCCUUGUACACACCGCCCGUCACACCAUGAAAGCUGGUUAUACCAGAAGU
rnacentral:rRNA from 1 species